rnacentral:rRNA from 1 species
UACAGAGGGGGCAAGCGUUGUUCGGAAUUACUGGGCGUAAAGGGCGCGUAGGCGCCUGUUAAGUCGGACGUGAAAUCCCUCGGCUCAACCGGGGGAACUGCGUCCGAUACUGGCGGGCUUGAAUUCGGGAGAGGGAUGUGGAAUUCCGGUGGAGCGGUGAAAUGCGUAGAGAUCGGAAAGAACACCAACGGCGAAAGCACUCUGCUGGGCCGACACUGACACUGGAGAGACGAAAAGCUAGGGGAGCGAAUGGGG